ensembl:misc_RNA
CAGUGUGUUUCAAGCCAUGAUCUGGAGUCAGGGUGUUAGUGAUUCCU